rnacentral:rRNA from 1 species
AUGCAAAGCCGCCCCGAUCGAUCAAAUCUGGAUCUCGGCGGCGGUGCCUCCUCCCUCUCCCCGCGCACCGGCGCAUCCUUCGGAGCCCUCCCCGCCACCUCCCUUCCCAGCGCCCACUCGACUGCCCCUCCUCGCCACAUCGCGGCCGUGAGAGCCCUCAAAAAGCUGGCCCUGGAGGACUGCUUCAAGAGGAUGAUCUGCUUCGAGACUCUGAACCCGUCGUGCCUGCUGCUGCCGUGCGACCAGGCGCCCGAGAUCUUCGACAUCGCCGGCCACUUCGCUGGGUCAGGCAGCGCCAAGGACCCGCCCAGGAUCCCCGUCAUAUGCAAGCCCAACGUCGGCGCCAUGGAGCCGGCCCUCAAGAUCGCCGACGUCAACCCAGAUCCGUGCGCUACCUCCCUUUGCCGCCGGAUCCCCGCGAGGCAUGCUCAGAUCCGUCCGCCAACCGCUGGCGACGAGGCGUACGGCGCCGCCAUGGCCGUGCUCGAGCGCCUCCAAGAACCCGCAGAGGAGAAUCGAGGCGUGGCGCCUCCUGGACUCCGUUCGUCGCCGCUUUGGCGACGGCGUCCCCGCCGCUGGGCAGGAAGAGUGUUUCCACGCCUUCAACCUCCGUGUCCACGAUGUCGUACUCGAUGCCCACCUGCAAGGUCAGCCUCCCAUCCUCCCGGUCCUUCCCAGCAAAUUGAUCUGGGCUUCAACCAUGAAUUAAACGUCCUGGUCUCUAAUGGGAACUUUUUUGUUACUGAACUUCGUAAUUGGUUUGCAUAA